GGUCUAUUAGGGGAGCCAGGCCGUCCCCGUCGCCCUGUCACGGCGAAGAUCACGGGUUCGAAUCCCGUAUAGACCG
rnacentral:tRNA from 1 species